rnacentral:rRNA from 1 species
UGCCUGAUGGAGGGGGAUAACUACUGGAAACGGUGGCUAAUACCGCAUAACGUCGCAAGACCAAAGAGGGGGACCUUCGGGCCUCUUGCCAUCAGAUGUGCCCAGAUGGGAUUAGCUUGUUGGUGAGGUAACGGCUCACCAAGGCGACGAUCCCUAGCUGGUCUGAGAGGAUGACCAGCCACACUGGAACUGAGACACGGUCCAGACUCCUACGGGAGGCAGCAGUGGGGAAUAUUGCACAAUGGGCGCAAGCCUGAUGCAGCCAUGCCGCGUGUAUGAAGAAGGCCUUCGGGUUGUAAAGUACUUUCAGCGGGGAGG